CCUACGGGAGGCAGCAGUGGGGAAUAUUGCACAAUGGGCGAAACCCUGAUGCAGCGACGCCGCGUGAGUGAAGAAGUAAUUCGUUACGUAAACCUCUAUCAUCAGGGAAGAAAUACUUACCUUACGGUCAGCAGACGGUACCUGCGUAAUAAGCCCCGGCUAACUACGUGCCAGCAGCCGCGGAAAUACGUAGGGGGCAAGCGUUAUCCGGAUUUACUGGGUGUAAAGGUGGCGUAGACGGUGGGCCAAGUCUGGAGUGAAAUGCCGCGGCUUAACUGCCGGACUGCUUUGGAAACUGGCGGGCUAGAGUGCGGGAGGGGUAAGCGGAAUUCCUAGUGUAGCGGUGAAAUGCGUAGAUAUUAGGAGGAACACCGGUGGCGAAGGCGGCUUACUGGACUGUAACUGACGUUGAGGCUCGAAAGUGUGGGGAGCGAACAGGAUUAGAUACCCGGGUAGUC
rnacentral:rRNA from 1 species